UGGGCGAAAGCCUGACGCAGCCAUGCCGCGUGAAUGAUGAAGGUCUUAGGAUUGUAAAAUUCUUUCACCGGGGACGAUAAUGACGGUACCCGGAGAAGAAGCCCCGGCUAACUUCGUGCCAGCAGCCGCGGUAAUACGAAGGGGGCUAGCGUUGCUCGGAAUUACUGGGCGUAAAGGGCGCGUAGGCGGAUCGUUAAGUCAGGGGUGAAAUCCCAGAGCUCAACUCUGGAACUGCCUUUGAUACUGGCGAUCUUGAGUAUGAGAGAGGUAUGUGGAACUCCGAGUGUAGAGGUGAAAUUCGUAGAUAUUCGGAAGAACACCAGUGGCGAAGGCGACAUACUGGCUCAUUACUGACGCUGAGGCGCGAAAGCGUGGGGAGCAAACAGGAUUAGAUACCCUGGUAGUCCACGCCGUAAACGAUGAUUGCUAGUUGUCGGGCUGCAUGCAGUUCGGUGACGCAGCUAACGCAUUAAGCAAUCCGCCUGGG
rnacentral:rRNA from 1 species